rfam:Myotis lucifugus cont2.31367, whole genome shotgun sequence.
AGGCCGGGAGAGAGGCAGGGUCUGAUCUGUAGCUUCCGUGGCAGCUGUUGAUCAGCCGUUGCCUCUCUCUUUCUCUCCA